AUUUAUUUUGUCAGACCUUGAUGCUUCCGUAUGGAAAUGCUCUUCAUUCUCUGUUAUCUGAGAGCAAUACUCAGCUAUCCGAAAAGGUAAGUCUGUUGAGUAAAGAAUCGUCUGUUGUUGAAUCAACUAAGGUUGGUGAAGGAUUUUCAGGAACGCUUUCAAGCUUUGAUGAUGUACAUAUGUUAGCUCAUCGCUUGAAAACUGUGGAUAACAGUGAUGUGAGUGAAGACGGUGAAAUUGAUGAAAGCGUAAAUGAGAAGGAUGAGGUAAAACCACAUAGCAACCAUUCAGUUGUCAAAACCAUGGAAAAUGACUCUGAUUUUGUUGAAGAUGCAACUAUUGAAAAUGAUAAUCUAUUCGAUGAAAUGGUGGACAUGGACGAGGAAACUACAAUGCAGAAGAACAAUGAAUCUAAAUGGGACCUUUCUAUAGAGCAAGUAGUAAAAACAACUGAUGAACUUUCAGCUGACUCUGAUUUAGAUGCAAAUAGAAAUACUGUGCUUAAUGAUACUAAAGCUGCAAAUGUGACUAACUCAUCGUCUGUGGAAGCUUCAAACCAUCUAGAUAACUUGCCAUUGGUUGCUAUAGGUGAAAUAAACUUCAUUCGUACUACUGGUAACAACUCUUCAACGGGAAAUUUGACUCAACUUCUCCCAAAUAAUGGAAAUCAUUCGUUGGUGCUAAGUACAGUCAAAAAGAAGAUGAGAUGCAUGUUGCCGCCAAAAACAGUAACUACA
rnacentral:misc_RNA from 1 species